UCGAUCCUAGCACCAUCUCCACGAGUCUCCUCGCAACGUAGACGAAGAGCCAAGGCAAUGAGAAUACCACUGAACCCGAGAUCGGUAAAAUUGGGGCGACGCGCGCGCAUAGAAGAUUCCAGAAGUUUUGUACGGGUGCGUGCGUGCGGAGCGCAUUCGUGCGUUCGUGCGCCGAACCACGAGAGAAUAUUGCUCGGUCCAAUUGUAUACAUGGCCACUGAACAAAGGUUAAUAAACCGACCAUCAGCCGGCGACAAAGUGGCGUACGAACCGACGUGGAGUAUCGGUUCGCUCUCGUUCCAUUUUAAGAAAAGUGGCGUCGCUGACGGUUCAACUAAUUCGACAUGAGACAUCUGUGCUUCGCCCCUGUGCAGAGUCUCGGAAUCUUGGAAAUACUCAAGGCAAAGAAAAAGCAGCUAGCCACUAGUCACGUGACAGAAUUGAAAUGCAAUGAGAAUCUUUAAAUAACCGUCUGCGCAGAUCCCUGCUUCCAGCCCACUCUGUAUGUCUUGCCUGUGCAUACGUGAAACGGAGAUCCCAAAAAGCCUUGUCGCUCGCUACUACGUAGCCUUUUGAGGCCUUGAAACGUAUACUCUCCUCUCUAAGGACACUCGAGGAACCCCGUGCUACGAUUCCCCCACUUAGGGUGCCCAAAGCUGAAGUGUGGAUGCAUCGUACAGGGUCGUGCCUUCAAUUCGUACUUCAGUGUUGCACACUCUUUUCUCGAUACCUUUAAUUGCGUGACACAAGUAGCGACGCAUGGCAUACCUUUCAAGAAGAUUUAAUCAUCGUUUUACGAAUUGUUAUUUCCGGUGCAAGUAACGAGCAUUAUGAAUCAUCCAACUCAUUAAGCAGAGAUGACUCUUGACUAUGCAAUCUUUUCGUCCGUGUCGAUCCCAUGAAGAGGAUGCAACGUGUGCACGCGCCGAAGAUACUCGACCAUGGGGUUAUAUUUAUUUGUCGAUUAUUGCAUCGAUGUCGAAUUGUAACGUCAAAGGAUACUCAGGGUUAUGUCACUCGAGAAAAUACAAGUAGUUAGUUUCGUGUUGAUUCACAAGGAUCACAUGGGGUAUCAAGUUACCUAAUUGCAACUCUUUUUAGUCUCCUUUGACGUGAAGUCGUUUCAUGAAGAAAAUUCAUUUUAAAUAAUAAAAAUUUUAGAAAAUCACACGUGGCAUUCUUUACGAUUACUAAAAUAUAUACUUUGAAAAAAUUUAACAUAUUUCAGGGAAAAACCCUUGCAGUAUUUGUGAUCUGCUGAAGAUUUUUUUUUCGACCUAUCAAAAAAUGAAUUUUAUUCUUGGAUCGAUUGUAUUUUAUAAUGUGUUAUACAUAUUCUUUCUAAGUUAGUACAUCGCGAGCGUUAGAUAAUAGGACGAGUCGACGAAUAUAUAAAUAAGCAGAGUUAUCGUUUAAAGUUUUAUAACUUUUUUUUGCAGUUUACACGCUCAAGGCAGUAUAAUGCGAAUAACAUGCUUAAAGAUAUCAAGUGUUACGUAUGGACUUGUAAACAGGAGAUAUCUGUCCUAUACUUCCGUAUAAAAACGCGUUGUCGAUUAGAUGUCUAAAAAAAAUUAUUUCGCCUUGAUUAAUAACAAUUAAUCAAAAUAACAGUAACGAUUCAUUACUGUCAUCUCGUCCCAUUAAUAUCGUUCCAUAAUCAGAAAUAGCAAUGGAAGAAAAUACAAAUGAAACGAAACACAAUGAUAAUACGAAUAAUGAGAAAUUUAAAGACUCCAUCAGCAGUUUGAAGCUAUAUGCCACGCAUCUUUUUGACCAGACAAGAGAUGGAAAAUAGGGUGCCAGGUCAACCAAUAAGAAUCAAGCGAUUGAAGAGAUAGAUAAGAAUCGGCAAAAGCCACGUGGUAAUGUUUACAAUUUUUGCUUAUUCAGCACGCACGAUUAAUACUUCAAGACCCGAACCAAAAGUCCAGCUCGAAUUAUCACUAGGAGAAGAAAAACGAAUUCAAAUAGAACGUUUCUCCCCGGACCGACGCACUUGCUCGGUCGGUAACUGUUCCGCGCGGCUCGCACAGAUAAUCUCGAAAGCAUUCAGCUCUGUCCAUCAUCCAGCCAUUGGAAAUCAUAUAUGGCCGCAUUAUCCGAAUGCUGCUUCAGCCAAUAUUCGAUUAUACAUACGUUAGAGAAAUUGUUUAUCCAUACAUGACGAAAAGCAGGUUUACACACUAAUCGUACAAUAAGUCACAGCUUUGUGUCAUUGUACCGUCGGCCGAUAAUAAUAAAAACGACCGCACGAUUUUAUUGAUAAAACCGAGAUAGAAUAUUCAUGGUUAAUACUGACACCUACGAAGGACGGCUGACAACCAUUACCCGGGUAACAUGAUCAGUUCAAUUUUGUAAAUAAACUAUAAAUAAACAAUGGACCUUGAACGUA